AAUCUUCCACAAUGGACGAAAGUCUGAUGGAGCAACGCCGCGUGAGCGAAGAAGGUUUNCGGAUCNUNAAGCUCUGUUGUGAGGGNCGAACAAGUACAGGAGUAACUGUCUGUACCUUGACGGUACCUCAUUAGAAAGCCACGGCUAACUACGUGCCAGCAGCCGCGGUAAUACGUAGGUGGCAAGCGUUGUCCGGAAUUAUUGGGCGUAAAGCGCGCGCAGGCGGCCUUUUAAGUCUGAUGUGAAAGCCCACGGCUUAACCGUGGAAGGUCAUUGGAAACUGAGAGGCUUGAGUACAGAAGAGGAAAGCGGAAUUCCACGUGUAGCGGUGAAAUGCGUAGAGAUGUGGAGGAACACCAGUGGCGAAGGCGGCUUUCUGGUCUGUAACUGACGCUGAGACGCGAAAGCGUGGGGAGCAAACA
rnacentral:rRNA from 1 species